rnacentral:rRNA from 1 species
AGUGAACGCUGGCGGUAGGCCUAACCCAUGCAAGUCGGACGGUAGCACAGAGAGCUUGCUCUCGGGUGACGAGUGGCGGACGGGUGAGUAAUGUCUGGGGAUCUGCCCGAUAGAGGGGGAUAACCACUGGAAACGGUGGCUAAUACCGCAUAACGUCGCAAGACCAAAGAGGGGGACCUUCGGGCCUCUCACUAUCGGAUGAACCCAGAUGGGAUUAGCUAGUAGGCGGGGUAACGGCCCACCUAGGCGACGAUCCCUAGCUGGUCUGAGAGGAUGACCAGCCACACUGGAACUGAGACACGGUCCAGACUCCUACGGGAGGCAGCAGUGGGGAAUAUUGCACAAUGGGCGCAAGCCUGAUGCAGCCAUGCCGCGUGUAUGAAGAAGGCCUUCGGGUUGUAAAGUACUUUCAGCGGGGAGGAAGGCGAUGUGGUUAAUAACCGUAUCGAUUGACGUUACCCGCAGAAGAAGCACCGGCUAACUCCGUGCCAGCAGCCGCGGUAA